rnacentral:rRNA from 1 species
GUGUCAGCCGCCGCGGUAAUACGGAGGAUCCAAGCGUUAUCCGGAAUCAUUGGGUUUAAAGGGUCCGUAGGCGGUUUAAUAAGUCAGUGGUGAAAGCCCAUCGCUCAACGGUGGAACGGCAAUUGAUACUGUUAACUUGAAUUAUUAGGAAAUAACUAGAAUAUGUUGUGUAGCGGUGAAAUGCUUAGAGAUUACAUGGAAUACCAAUUGCGAAGGCAGGUUACUGCUAAUGGAUUGACGCUGAUGGACGAAAGCGUGGGUAGCGAACAGGAUUAGAAACCCUUGUAGUCC